rnacentral:rRNA from 1 species
AUGGCGGGACCAAAGAAGGGUUCCUCCUUCACUUGGCAAAGUAUUGUAGCGGGUAUACAAACUUUUAAGAGAGGAUGCAUCUGGCGUGUGGGUACGGGUUCACAAAUAAAUAUCUAGAAUGAUCCCUGGAUACCCAUUAGUGAGAAUAGGAAAAUUAUAACCCCAAGGGGAGCAACCAUGUUGAGCAAGGUGGAGGAAUUAAUUGAUCCUUAUACUGGACAAUGGGAUGAGACUUUGAUCAGAGAUGUGUUCUGGCCAGUUGAUGUACACCGGAUCCUACAAAUUCCUCUCUGAGUGCAGCUGAUGGACGACUUUGUAUCAUGGCAUUAUAAUCGAUCUGGUAUAUUUACAGUUCGAUCGGCAUAUCAUGUGCAAUUCCAGCACCAGUUUGGACGCAGGGAGAAUAUAAAUGCGGCACAAUGCAGUCGACCAAACCAUAUAUGGAAACGUGUGUGGGGUUUAAGAAUCCCGGGCAAAGUUAAACACUUUGUAUGGAAGGUGAUCAGGGGAGUUCUACCAUGCCACGGAACCCUAGCAAAAUGACAUAUACCAGUCACGGGACAAUGCCCGAUAUGCCAGAUAGGAUACGAAGAUUCACAACACUGUUUAUUCACAUGUAGAAGAGCGAAGGAUAUAUGGAAGGAGCUGGGACUCGAGGAUGAAGUUAUGCAAGCCGUUGCAGAGGACCGGUCAGGCGCAUUCACUUUGGCUACUCUCUUAGAGCGUCAUGAGUCAAAAAACAGUCUAUCUGUGGCAGAGCUAACUGCGGUGGCAAGCUGGUAUAUCUGGUGGCAACGACGACAAGUUGUUAAGGGCAAGGUAGUCCGACAGGCACACCAAACUGCAAUAUCGAUAAGAGUUUUAGCAACAAACUUUAUCCGCUCACUAACUCCGAACCAGCCGUUGGUUGCGCGUGAUCGUAUGUGGCACAAGCCAAUAAGAGGAGUAGUUAAAAUCAAUGUGGAUGCAUCUUUCUGCACUAAAAAUAUGAAUGCAGGCACAGGAGCUGUUGCACGAGAUGAACAUGGUGAUUUCAUAGCAGCUGCUUCAUGGUUCAUACCGCAUGUGGUGUCAGUAGAUGCGGCAGAGAUGAUUGCUAUCAGGAAUGGUUUCUACUUGGCAGGCAAGAUCGGGUGCAAUAUCCUGCAUAUUGAGUCGGAUAGCUCAAAUGCAGUGUCAGCUGUCAACUCAGAAAAUCUCCUGGGAUAG